rnacentral:rRNA from 1 species
UACGUAGGGGGCAAGCGUUGUCCGGAUUCAUUGGGCGUAAAGAGCGUGUAGGCGGCCAGGCAGGUCCGCUGUGAAAACUCGAGGCUCAACCUCGAGAUGUCGGUGGAAACCGUCUGGCUAGAGUCCGGAAGAGGAGAGUGGAAUUCCCGGUGUAGCGGUGAAAUGCGCAGAUAUCGGGAAGAACACCCGUGGCGAAGGCGGCUCUCUGGGACGGUACUGACGCUAGACGCGAAAGCGUGGGGAGCGAACAGG